GGAUGCGAUCAUACCAGCACUAAAGCACCGGAUCCCAUCAGAACUCCGAAGUUAAGCGUGCUUGGGCGAGAGUAGUACUAGGAUGGGUGACCUCCUGGGAAGUCCUCGUGUUGCAUUAU
rnacentral:rRNA from 1 species